AAGAAAGCUGAUUGUCGGUCAGAAAUGCUCUGCGUUUAGUUAUAUAUUAAACGUUUUUCUUUUGAAUUGAAUGGUCAUUAUAUACAUUUGUCAUCUCUAUGUGGAAAUUUUGAUAUCCUUGUAUUACUUAAUUGUCUCCGAGUUAGUCUGAUAUCAUUAGUCAUGUGUAAGGUGAAGAUAAUAUUAAUCACAUCUAUUCUAGGGCGAAGUAUCAAGUGAAAACGCUGAUUCAGUGAAAAUCUGGAAACUCACCUCGUGAGUCAUCAGAUCAAUAAAGAGCGGCAUAGAUCUUAGGUCGUAUCCCACCAGCCACUUAAACACUAAUUAGCAAAUAACCCCUUCAUUUACGCACCAGGUCCUUACGUUUCGACUACGAUCGAUUCGUCUUUCAAUCUCGUCGGCGAGAUGGAGACUUGCCCUACGCCGGCCACGACGGGCCGUCCGUCGACCGUGAACUACUCCCUCCGCCGGCCACGAAGAGCCCCACGCCAGCCACGAUGCGUCCUCCGCCGGCCACGAGGGGCCCUCCGCUGGCCGUGAACUAUCUCCCUCCGCCGGCCAUGUUCCCUGUCGACGCAUCGGUGCCGCCUCUUCAGGACCUCGCUCCUCCUCGUACUGUGCCAUGCCUCAACCUCGUCUUAGCCCUGCACAGGUAAGCAACAGCUGCUUCGGUUACUGAUUGUACUAAUAUGGCGUCGGUCUUAUUGCCACAACAUCGUCAUAUCCCUCCACCUGAUGGUAGAACAAGCACUACCUGAAUCAUGUUAACCUGAAUGUCAUAGUUGUCUUUCUUCAGUUGUACUUUUGAAGUAUCUGGUUUGGUCUUUCUUGUUUGCAUCUUCGUCGGUGUACUGUAGCAUGUACAUCAGUUGCCGGCAGUAGAAUAUGUAAAACUGGACUUGUAAAUCCUACUUGAGAGCAGUAGAGUAAAUUACAAAAACAAAAAAUAUGGGAUGAGUUCCCAAAUUAAAAAGGGGAUGGAGAAGGGAAGAGAAAUAAGAAUGGAGAGGGGAAGAAAAAUGUGGGAGGACCGAAAAAGCCUCGCACCUGCAGGACAUGUAACCAAGUUGGCUUCCAUGACAGUCGUAGUUGCCCCCAAAAGAAUCAACAAUAAUAAAGGUUCCUUUAUUUCGAUUCGAGGCAACCGCAUGUUUUUAUUUUGGGCAGUACAAGAUUGAAGUUGAAGCCUCAAUAUUUUCUUCUCUGAAUUUUGUACUUCUGAGAAUCAUCUAGUUAUGUAGCCUCAACCUUGUACUCCCUCCAUUCCAAAUUACUCGUCGUGGUUUUAGUUCAAAUUUGGAACUAAAACCACGACGAGUAAUUUGGAACGGAGGGAGUAGUUAAUUAAGUCAAUGCCGUACCUAUCAUAUCGAUUCUGGCCAUACUUAGCAUAUCGAUUCUGGAUGUUACUAUUGGUGAUGAAACUUAAAAUAUUUAGUACUGAUUGUACUACUAUUAUGUUGCCUCCAAUUAAUUGCUUCGGAUACUCGACUAAGUUUGUUGUCUGCUGCAUGAUAGUAACUUGUUGUAGUCAGGUGGCAUGAUAUCUUGCCGUCUCAUUUGUUUUUGUCCUUUUGUUUAAUUUCUGCCAAUUGCAUGAAA